UACGGGGGGGGCAAGCGUUGUUCGGAAUUACUGGGCGUAAAGGGCUCGUAGGCGGCCAACUCAGUCGGACGUGAAAUCCCUCGGCUUAACCGGGGAAUGGCGUCCGAUACUGGAUGGCUUGAGUUUGGGAGAGGGAUGCGGAAUUCCAGGUGUAGCGGUGAAAUGCGUAGAUAUCGGGAAGAACACCCGUGGCGAAGGCGGCACUCUGGGACGGUACUGACGCUGAGACGCGAAAGCGUGGGGAGCGAACAGG
rnacentral:rRNA from 1 species